rnacentral:lncRNA from 1 species
AACACCAUCUAUGAGGGUGUAGACCAUUGCAGAAUGAAGCCCUUUAUCCACAAUGGCUUUAACAAUCGCUUGUACAUCCUUAGGGUUUGUUGGUGAGUGAACCCUCUGCCCCCCGUCUGUCACCCAGACCGGGAACGCUAGCAUGGCCGAUAAAGCCCAGACGGCACACGUAAUCUUAAUUUUCCUCCAAUCCAUGAGAGGAAUUUCUCCACCUCGCGGUGCAGCUUUAUUUCAGACGGGGAUAUUUUUGCUAUCUGUCCCCAUUUCCUCCUCCGAAUUUGAAUCGGUAUCUGAUCCGGAGUCGGAGAUCGGCUGACUGCUCACCUCCAAGUUCCGGUACCCUCCCGUCGAGUUCUGGCCCCGCCCACCACCCCUGCGGGCAGGCCGCUCUCUCCCUCGUGGCUCGCCCUGCCGCCUUCUCAGCGAGGCGUUUGCGCCACUAGAGCGUUUUUUCGGAUGGCCGUUCCGAUCGGCUCUCUGACCCUCUCUCACGCUUCUACCUCCUCCCCUGUCGUCCCCGCAACCAUUCUCUUUCUCGCAUUUCCACGUGUUAGUAAAACCUAGCACUUCAUCCCCGUUCCCGCCGGAGGCUUCUUCACCCAACUCUUCGUCUUCUAGUUCAGCACCAUACUGGGGCGCACAUGUCCGUGGUCUCUCCCAGAUUUCCCCAGGCUCUGGUUCCCCACCGGCACCCCUGGCUUCCUCAGCUGAGCCACCCCAUAGCUUCCACAACUUUGAUACGACCUUCACAAGGGUUUCCAUCUUCCUUGUUGGUCCGGGAGCGUCCUCCCCGCCGGGCUGGUCCCGCCGCUCCGGCCGCCGUUCACCCGAAUCCAGGAGUUUUCCCAGGUUUCGGCACCACUUGUUGCCUUCAGGGGGCAGUGGCGACCUGGUUCAGGAACGGCACGGCGACCAAUCCCAGGCCUCUCGGUCCAUCGGCUCACAGACACCAAUGUGGUGGAUGGCAAAUGGCAUUUAUUGUCAAGUCACAUGGGCUUAUAUACCCGAGGCCCAUAGCAUCACUUCCGCUUGCUUACAUCACAGGCCACGCACUACUGUCCAUCAAGGGAGGGGCUCCACCUUUCCGUACAGCGCGACAUCUUCCGGCCACCAGACCCUAACUACCCACACACAUGGUACACUAGUCUUUUACCUGACCUCAAAGGCUGUUUUCCAGAACAAAGUGAUAAGGGCUGUGAUAAGGGCAGACUGUUGUUCCCAGUUGCAGAAUAGCACCGGUACUUCCAUUUCUCUACCAAUUGGAGCUGGGCCAGAAACUGCAGAGCAUGGAGAGGGCCCCCAUCAGAACAGAAGAAAAUCGCAAGGAGAAAGAAGCAUGAGACACAGGAGAGAGAAACUACUAUGUACACUGAGAGUACACCCCCCAGCUCACCCCUCCAUUAUCUAUCUCAGUGUUCCUUGGGUUGAGGGAAGUGGAAGAUCUGUGAAGGCAGUGAGGGAAUGAAGUUGAGCCUAGGAAACGUUGUUUAAAUGUUCAUUUUGUUUGUUUCUCACCACCCAAAGCUUUUUUACUUGGUAAUAAAUUAAAUUAAAUUUCCA